CUCUCUCUCUCUCUGUCUCUCCCCUGCUCACUCUCUCUCUCAAAAAUAAAUAAAUAAACUUUUAAAAAAAGGUGGUAGGAGGGAAAGGAGGUGCUGACUUUUCCAUUUCCCACCCUGAGAAGCAUUAUUCUCCAUGAAUCCUCAAAAAAUAUCCAUGCUUUCCAAUAUCCAUGGAAAUAUCCAUGCUUUGAAGAACUUUUUUUUUUAAGAAAUUUUUAAUUUAAAGUUGGGAAUAUUACCAUUGUUUUGUCUCUCAGGUUGUAUGGUAGUAAAAAUUGCCAAAGAAUCAUUUAAAUAGUGAGAGUACUGACAAACUAUAAUGUAUUAUGUGGCUCAAAAUGCUUCCUGAUCUGAUUAGCUACCAAGACCUUAUUUAAGACAAGGAAGGGUGGAGACUUCACUGGAAAUGACUCAUGGAUGUUCAAUUUGUGGAUUUUAUUUGUGGGAAAAAAAGUAUUUUGAUAAGUAGAGAUAGCUGUUUCAAAGAAAAGUGUUGAGGCUCUAUUAAGAAGUACACAUUCAAAUCUAUUAAUCUAGAUAUCUAGUCUCAAAACGUGUAUGUAUGUGUGCAUGUGUGUGUGUGUGACAUUUUUAAAGUAAUUUAAACCAAGCCGUUGUUUCAUACCCUGAAUUAACAACCCAUGAAACAAUUCCCUAAUUGUUAAAUGGAUAUUGUGAUGAAUAUUAAAAAUGUUAGCAGAAUAAAAAUUGUCUGGAAAUACAGAGAAUCGUGUCUUAGGUAUUGCUUUAUUAUUAGGGGGGAAGAAAUUUAGUAUGGUGUAAGGAGAAUAGAAUUUUGGAAUUAGGUUGAGUUAAAGUUCUUGUCUUAUCCAUAGGUGGCAUCAGACAAAUCACUUAACAUCUUGCAGUUCCCUUUCUUGAUCUAGAAAAUGAGAAUAGCAUAUGCAUUAUGAAGAGAUUGUAAGUACUAACUGGAUAAAACAAUCUAGGACAUGCUUGGCAAAUAAUCGGUGCUUAACAUCACUCUCAUUAAAGUUGGUGAUUAUUAACUGGCACUUUACAAUGAAAACACUCUGGACAAAAAUAAAUAAAUAAGAAUGACUGUUCCAAUUAAUCUUUUCAAUAGAGGUACAGACAGAAUAUAUAUUUUAUAUUUUUUUAAUAUUUAUUUGUAGAGAGAGAGAGCAUGAUAAGGGGAGCAGAGGAGAGAGAGAGGGAGAGAGAGAGAAUGCCAAGCAUUCUCAGGCUCAAGCAGAGACUGAUGUGGGGCUUGAACUCACGAACCGUAAGAUCAUGAUCUGGGCCGAAAACAAGAGUCCGACACUUAAUCGACUAAGCCACCAGGCACCCCUGGAAUAUUUUUUGGGUCACCAUUGCAGUGAUUUGCUACUGAAGAAACCUUCUUUCUCCUCACCAAGUCUCUAUGGCCCAUAUUUAAUUUGGGAUUUGGAGAAGGACAGGUGGGAUGUUUUCCCAGAGUACUUCAGUGCUAUAUAGCUGAAAAAAAACCGUAAGUAUGUUAACAUGCAAAAAAGUGCCUAUGAAUAUUCAGUAGUUCCGCUAAUGGGAUCAUAGAACUAAGGGAGGUAGGAGUUUGAUUCCCACUCGGGCCUUUUAGUUUUCUUGGCUUCUCAGCCUCUGGCCCCCACAGGCCAUUGCCAUGAAGGUAUCAAGCAGCAGCGUGUGUAUGGAUCUACAGAACCUCCUGAAAUUACAGAGCAGAGUUCAAUGUUAGCAAGUUGUAAUAAAGAAGACAUGUUUUGUUCAAUAAUCAUACUGAAGGUUUUGCUUCAGAGACCCCGCUAAAAUACGGGAUGUCUGAACGGCAUACUACUAAAAUAUUAGGGUGCGAAAAUCAUUCUUUUUUUUAGACUGCAUUUAAAAAAACUCACUACAAAAGCUCAGUGUGUGAGGUGGAUAAGCUUCAGACAAAGGAAAAACCAAACCUGCUAGUCAGCGGUACAAAAAAAUGUCAACUUCUACUUCAUGUUGCCAAAGAGACCGGGUAAACAGACUUAAACAAAGAGAAGUGGCUGUCUUGGCAAGAAGGCUAAUGUGGAAAACCUCUUCAUUGUUGUAUGGCAUGCUUCUUUUCAGAAGAGCAGACAGGGAGAGAGGAAAAACAAGAAUAGAAGCAUCUUUCUUCCAAAGAGGGGCAUCUGCGUCCCUGAGAGAUGAACUUAGCCGCCCAGGGACGACAUCUUAGUAAAUCACUUGGAAACAAAGCUUGAAAGGCCUAUGGAUUGUCUCACGAUUCCCUCACUACUUUACCCUCUGUUCUUUGAUCAGCUGUGUGAGGAAGUGGUCUCAUAGGAGAUCUUUUAAUUCAAGCUUUCAGCCUGUGUUUACUCUGUGUUUUCCAGGCAGGGCAAUGCCUGGAAGUUGGGGGAGAGGGUGAGUAACGGAGUCUGUCUGACUGAUGAAGGUCACCAUUUAACAAGUAAAUACAGAGUUAAGUCUCAUCUGACUUACAUCUCUUUCCUCUUAGAAGUUUAUCCAAUCCAACCACAUAUCCAGAUGCCAUUAUUUCCCCCGCAUUAGCUUCAACACAUACGAGGCAUUACAGAUAAAUGCAAUGGUGUUUCAAGUGAUCCCAUUCCUCAAGAUAUUUACAGUACAUGGUAUAGAAAAAUGCUCUCAUUAUAGGCUUCGGUGAGAAAAAUGUUGUGUUUUUACACCACCAUAUAUGCAGUAUGAUUAUACAUCUGUAAAGCUCUUCAGCAAACGAUAAAUAAGUCAACAGUGAUCAUUAAUGAUGGAUACAAAAACUAGAGGUUACUGUUUUGUUCCUUCUAUUAAUGUCUGUCUCCAAAUUUUCUAGAAUAUGUCCAUAUAAGAAUUUAUAAUUUAUUAAUGUGAAUCUGGUUUCAGAUGUUGAACUUUGUGGUUUAUUCUUUCAUGCAGCUUGAGGCGAGCACAAUGAAGUUUGCCAAAACCAAGAUAUAAUGAAACAGUUCUUUCUACAUCUGCAAGUUUGUUUGCAAGUUUUUUAAAAAAAGAAAAUGCCUUUCUUUUAAUGUGUGUCUUCAAACCCGUCACCAUAGAAGUUGCUUGUUUUGAAAGGGAAUAAAAUAAGAUUGCAAACCAGCUCUAACUUCAUUGGGAAGCUUCCACCUAAGCAGAAGGCAAAUGUUAGCACUGGCUGGCACAGUUCUACAGAUAAAUUCGGAUACACUGAGAAGUACUGUAGGGAGACCUCCUUCCAGGGAUGCCAGGCCAAUGAGACAGACGUAAGGUGCUAAUAUUACGAUUUUGUAGAGAGUCCACCGGCAGUCUCUAACUUAGAUGUCUGGGUUGCCAAGUGUUGAAGUGGACCCUGGAGGUCACGUAAAAUACCUUUUCAACUAAUGAGAGAAUUCCUGUCUAUGAUACUUCUGGCUGAGAUUCUGAACUGGAACGCUUCCAAGGAUGGGGGUGAGGCAGCCUUCUGCAUUACAAACACCUGAAAAGCCUAAAGUUUGGGUCUUUGCUGUCUGCAACAGCCCCUCCUACCCUGUCCCGACAUCAAGAUCCACUCAAGGAUCUUCUACAGGUAACCACAGUCUUUGAAACAAAGUGGCUCAUUUUAUAUAUCUGGACCCUUUCAGGCAACAAAGCGAGAAACUGAAAGGGGUGGAAUUACCCAACGGAGUCACAGAUGGAAAUAUAGUUUGGUGAAGAAACAGGAAGCAAUAGAAAUGGAAGGACUCCCAUAUAUUUUUCUUUACAGUCUAAAUAUGCUGCACACAUGAAGACUGCAACAGAUCCAGAUCAAAAUGGCCCUUGCUGUGCUUUGGGAAAUCUGGGCUGUGAAGAUCUUCUGCAGUAGAAAGGGUGGUUCUAUCACGCUACCUGGAAGGCCAGUCUGGGGUGUGCUCACUGGAUGUGUUGAGAUCAAUUACCCACAAGUCCCCGCGGAGCCUCUCUUCGGUAAGAACAGGGGAAGCCCGAGCCAUUGGUAUUCUGUGCACACAUACUAACAGCUUGUGUGCAAUCAUUUCUUGCAGAGGCAAUCAUUUCUCAGCUGCUUUCAGAUUCUAUUUAUUGUUUAUUUUCCCCUUGGCUGAAAAGGUUUCUCCUUCAUACUAAGCAGAGGCACCAAUCUAGGAGAAUGCAUUAGAAACUGCUCUGUUGGUAUCUUGCUGGAUUUCCCAUGGGGUUGAAAUGCUCAAACAAAACGUGAUGAAAAUUUUAGGGUGUUUUGGGUGACUUCAGUCCCAAGGUGUCACUAGGGUGACUUGAUUUCCUGCUCUUCGAGAUUUAGGCAAUGCUUGUUUCAGAAGGGAGAUCUGGCAGGCCUUGACAAUGAGGCAGCUUUUACAUCAGCCUUUCAGUGGUGGAAAAAUCCAUGUACUCGCGAUGUCAAGAUACUAUGCCCUCAUUUGGGUGCAGAUGUGAAGGGUGAAUGAAUUCCUUGAAGAGGAAAAUGUGGCCGUGGGCACUGUGUAGUGGUGAAAUUCAGUCUUUGCAUUGGGUUUUUCAAGAAGUCCAAAAGGAAGUACAAAGAUUUUCUUCUCACAUCUUCCUAAGACAAACAGAUGAUGACGGGGCAGAUAUAAGGGAAGCUUUGGGGGUAGAGAAGAGAAGGUCAUUCCUUUCCUAAUCUUACCAAAGUUUACAAUUUGUCUAUUUGGUCCUUGCCCCACAAUUGAGUUGUAAGCUCCAUGGAGACAGGGAACGUGUUCCUGCUCUGUUCAUUACUACAUUGCCAAUACCGAUCACAGUUCUUGGCACAGUGCAACAAAGGAUAAAUAAACACUUAGUCUCUUUUAAACCAUUGGUUCUCCUUCUCCAAGUGUGACGUUGGUAUGGAUUUUCUUGAAGUUUGAUGAUGACCAAAGCCAGUAGUGGAAUGAAAAUCAGCUGGAAAGCGUGGUCUCUGAUUCACAGGGAAUUCUAAUAUUUCCUGGUACAUUUUGGUGUACUGGUCUGUAACCCAUUUUUAAGCCAUAAAACAGAAACACCAAUGCUGUCUUAUUUAAUGAUAAGAUAUAAUAGUGGUCAUUUAUACAAGUCAAGAAAUAUUUUCUGAGCCCCUAUAUUGUGCCAGGAACUGUUCUUGAUUCCUGAAGAACAUGGCACAUGGUUGUUCGUGGAGCUUUCAGUCAAAUAAUGCCUAUAUGAUUGGAACUGGUGGGUAUGGAGUUCAAAACAGCUAUUCUAAGCCAAACUGCUCUAAACAAAUGAUGUGGGUAUCAUCAGGGACUUGCUACAAUUUUGAUUAUAUUUAGCUCUCCUGACACCUCUCUCACCAGCUAAGUUGGGUAGGAAGAGGUCUACCUGGGAAGCACAGAAUGAAGUGGGAAGAGAGGUACCCAGGGGUCAGUGCUGUAACACUGUUCUUAGCAAAUGGUCCCCUGGUAAUUUUCAAGAAGGUAAGAUAUUGAAAUAUUGAAUUGAUCUCAUGACAUGGCCACGCCAGCUCUAAAAUGGUUCUAUAAUGUAAACCUGCCUUCGGUGAGUGAUCUAAAGUUGGAACAACUUAUGGAACAGGGUGGGGAGUCAGUUGGCACAGAUAAUUGAAGUGGCUCCAGACCACUUGCCGAUUGAUUCAUGAGAAAUUUACUUUACAUUUCUAAGCAUCAGUUUCAUAUGUAGAGAGGAGAUAGCAUUAUAUACAGGGUUGUCGUGAAUACAAUAUAAAAUGAUAUAGUGCAUUGUUAGCAUGGUAAGUGACACAUAAGAGCAGCUGAAUACGUUAUUAUUCAACAGAGAUUGAAUAUUUCAACGAAUCACAAUAUUCAUUAAUCACUACAUUUCAUUAAUUGCAACACUCAGAGGAGAGGAGUGCAGGAUAUAUGACUGGCAGAUAAGACAACUGAUGCUUAAAGGGAUAGAACAUCAAUACUUUCACUGCUCUGGGCACAGGGGAGGCUUGCACUUCACUUUCCCAUUGAAAUUAGAUAUGGCCAUGUGACUUGCUUAGGCUAAUGAAACAUGAAGAGAGAGGCAGGUGUUGGUUUUGGGUGGAAGCCCCUAAAAGCCAUCUUCCCUUCCCUGCACCACCACGUAGAGUGAUGUUUCAGGAGGUGGACUGUCCAGCAUCUUGUGUCCUGAAGUGAGGACAGUGCAGAGCAGAGCCCCCAGCUAAUACUGAUGGAAUGCAGCGUGAGCAAGAAAUAAAUGCCCGUUGUUUUUGCCACUGAGA